rnacentral:lncRNA from 1 species
CUGUUUCCCCACUUUCAACCACUGCUCGACCUCCUCGUUGCCACAUCUCGUUCAUAAAAAAAAAAAGAAAAAAAAAAAGAAGAAGAAACACGAGAGGAAGAAGAAGCCGCAGCCACCCCUGCGUCCCCUACUUCCAGCCAGCCCACCCGCCGCUGCUGCUCUCCGGCCAGCGCUCACCAUCGCCCCGCUUCCUGGCCGGCGACCACCACCGCCGCUGUUCCCUGGCCAGGAGACGACGCUGCCAGCGUCCAUCCCAGCCCUACUGCCACCGCCCGCCUCCCC